GACGAAGGGGGCUAGCGUUGUUCGGAAUUACUGGGCGUAAAGCGCGUGUAGGCGGUUGUCCAAGUUGGAUGUGAAAGCCUUGAGCUUAACUCAAGAAAUGCAUUCAGGACUGGAUGACUAGAGGACCGGAGAGGAUAGUGGAAUUCCAAGUGUAGUGGUGAAAUACGUAGAGAUUGGGAAGAACACCAGUGGCGAAGGCGGCUAUCUGGACGGUUUCUGACGCUAAGACGCGAAAGCGUGGGGAGCAAACAGG
rnacentral:rRNA from 1 species